ensembl:lncRNA
GGUAUAGCCCGGGAGGCGGCAGGUGGCUGAAUUCUCCUGCUCCCCGCCCCCUCACCCAACCCCGUGUUGCAGAGAAGGAACGUUGCCUUGCUAGGGACUGAAUGUUGGGAUUAACCUGAAACUCAGAAGAGCAGCAGGGUUUGUAGGAAAAGCCGAAAAGGAAGAGUGACUCAGCAAAAUAAACCGUCACCUGUGGAUAUUCUGAGCUGCUAUUUUGGGAUCCUGGGUGACUGCCUGGCUAUGGUGACAGGCUGUUCUGAGCCCUGGAGCCACAGAGAUCAAGUCUGGUCCAGUGUUCACUGGACAGUCCUUGGGCUGUGUGAGGAGUUAGGAUGCCUUGCCCACUUGACUUUUCAACUUCAGGACUUUACUAGGGGAUUUGAAGGCAUGGUAGUCUCCUCAGCUACUUCUGUUAUGCUUCUCCUGCUUGAUGGAUAGAACCAUCAGAUCCCCACACUGUGCAGGCAAAGCCAGCCCCCAGCCAUGAAACACGACACCUCUGAAGAUUUUGACUGGAGGACUGUUACCCAUUAACCCAGGUCCUUUCAAUAUGAUCGGGCAGGAAUACUGGAGUGGGUUGCCAUGCCGUUCUCCAGGGGAUCCUCCCGGCCCAGGGAUUGAACCCGUGUCCCUUACAUCUCCUCUAUUGGCAGGUGGGUUCUUUACCACUCACACCACCUGGGAAGCCCAUCAGAUAGUCUGGUGGGAUAUUAUGUAACUAAAUUCAAGAAAAUGAGGUAAAUAAACUGGAUUUUUUCCACUUUAAAAGCUUGUUUUUAAUUGAAGGAUAGUUGCUUUUACAGUGUUGUGUUGGUUUCUGCCAUACGUCAGCAUGAAUCAGCCAUAGGUACACAUCUGUCCCUUCCCUCUUAAACCUCCCUCCCGCCUCCCCGCCUCAUCCGACCCCUCUAGGCUGUCACAGAGCACCAGUUUGCACUCCCUGCAUCAUAUAGCAAAUUCCCACUGACUGUCUUGCUUAUGGUGAUGUGUGUUUCCAAGUUCCCGUCGCACGUUGCAGUUUGUCCCCACUCUUCCUCCCACUGGGUCCACGAGUCUGUUCUGUGUCUCCAUCUCCAUUGCUGCUCUGCAGUAGGCUUCAGUACCGUCUAUUCCAUGUGUGUGCGUUAAUAUACAAUAUUUGUUUUUCUGACUUAUUUCAUUCUGUAUAAUAGGCUCUUGGUUCACUCUCAUUAGAACUGACUUGAAUGUUUUUUUAUGACUGAGUAUAUUCCAUUGUAUAUAUGUACCACAACUUCUUUAUCCAUUCAUCUGUUGAUGGACAUGUUAAUAUGUUGCUUCCACAUUCUAGCUCUUAUAAGUAGUGCUGCAAUGAACACUGGGGUACAUAUUUCAGUUAUGGUUUUGUCAGGGUAUGUGCUCCGUAGUGGGAUUGUUGGGUCAUAUAGUGGUUUUAUUCUUGGUUUUUUAAGGAAUCUCCAUACUGUUCUCCAUAGUGGCUGUGUCAGUUUACAUUCCCACCAACAGUACAAGAGAGUUCCCUUUUCUCCAUACGCUCUCCACCAUUUAUUGUUUGUAGACUUUUUGAUGAUGGUCAUUUUGAUGAAUGUGAGGUGACACCUCAUUGUAGUUUUGAUCUGCAUUUUUUAAAAUAAUGAGUGAUGUUGAGUAUCUUUUCAUGUUUAUUAGCCAUCUGUAUGUCUUAUUUGGAGAAAUGUCUGAAUAAACUGGAUUUUAUUUUCUUAGCAUUUAUGCCUUCAGUACAUUCACUGUCUACUUUGUUAGUUUCAGUUCAACAAAUAGUUUGAGUGCAUGCUAAAUCUCUAUUUGAUGGACUCAGUGGUAAUUGGACUUCCCUGGUGGCUCAGAUGUUAAGGCGUCUGCCUACAAUGCAGGAGACCCAGGUUCAAUCCCUGGGUUGGGAAGAUCUCUUGGAGAAGGAAGUGGCAACCCACUGCAGUAUUCUUGCCUGGAAAAUCCCAUGGAUGGAGGAUCCUGGUAGGCUAUACAGUCCAUGGGGGUUGCAAAGAGUUGGACACGACUGAGCGACUUCACUUUACUUCAACAGUAAUAGAAUCAUGACUGGCUAUGUUAAAAGAGUUAGCACAAAGCCUUAUGUUAUCCUGCACAUUGUUAGUGGAAAGGUUAAAGGAAUGGCUAUAUAAAGUUUUAUUUGUUAAUAUUUAUUUAUUUGGCUGCAUCAGGUCUUAGUUGCGACCUGCAGGAUCUUUCGUUGCUGCGCGUGGACUGUCUAGCUCUGGUGUGUGGGCUCAGUAGUUGAGGGGCUUGGGCUUAGUUGCUCUGCCACAUGUGGGAAUCUCAGUUCUCCAGUUGGGGUCAAACCUGCAUCCUCUGUGUUGCAAGGUAUAUUCUUAACCCCUGGACCCCCACGGAAGUCCUUAGAAAGGUCUUAUAGUUGGAUUUAAGUCUCGAAAGUAGCUUGAUAAUCCUUACCAAAAUGAUAUUUUUUCAUUUGCAUCAC